CCUACGGGAGGCAGCAGUAGGGAAUCUUCCACAAUGGGCGAAAGCCUGAUGGAGCAACGCCGCGUGGGUGAAGAAUGUCUUCGGAUCGUAAAACCCUGUUGUUAGAGAAGAAAGUUCGUGAGAGUAACUGUUCACGUUUCUACGUUAUCUAACCAGAAAGCCACGGCUAACUCCGUGCCAGCAGCUGCGGUAAUACGUAGGUGGCAAGCGUUAUCCGGAUUUAUUGGGCGUAAAGGGAACGCAGUCGGUCUUUUAAGUCUGAUGUGAAAGCGUUCGGCUUAACCGGAGUAGUGCAUUGGAAACUGGGAGACUUGAGUGCAGAAGAGGAGGGUGGAACUCGAUGUGUAGCGGUGAAAUGCGUAGAUAUAUGGAAGAACACCAGUGGCGAAGGCGGCUCUCUGGUCUGUCACUGACGCUGAGGUUCGAAAGCGUGGGUAGCAAACAGGAUUAGAUACCCGGGUAGUC
rnacentral:rRNA from 1 species